AAAUUUAAAUAUAGUUUAUGUUAAAAUAUUUUAAACUUUCUUUAUAUUUUUAGUAUAAAUUUAUAUAUAAAUAGAAGAAAAAUUUAUUUUUUUAAAAAAAUAAAAUAGAAGUUUAAUAAAAUGAUUUGGCUAAACUUGUGCCAGCCGCCGCGGUUAUACAAGUAAAUCUUUUUUAAUAUAUUAAGAAUAAUAAAAUUAUUAAAAAAUUUUUAAAAAAUUAAUAAAGGUGAAAUUUAUAUUUUUUAAUAACAAAAUUGAUUUUAAAAAAAUUUAAUUUUUAAACUAGGAUUAGAUACCCUAUUAUUUUAAGCUAAAUGUUGGUAGUAAGUAAAGUUUAUGAAAUCAUAAAAUUUUGGCGGUAUUUUAAGCUUAUUAGAGGAAUUUGCUCUGUAAUGGACACAACGCCUUGAUCUUACUUAAUUUAGUAUUAAAUCAGUUUGUAUACCACUAUAUUUAAUUAUAUUGAAUAAUUAUAGUUAAGAUUUUUUUUUAAUCUAAAAAGUAUAUUAAGUCAAGGUGCAGCUUAUAAUUAUGAAUGAAGUGAAUUACAUUAAUUUUAAUGCUAUAAUAUUGAAAAGAAAAUUAGGAUUUAAUAGUAAAAUAUUAAUAGAAUGAAUAUUUGAAAUAAGCUCUAAAAUAUGCACAUAUCGCCCGUCGCUCUCAGAGGUGAGAUAAGUCGUAACAAAGUAAAAGUACUGGAAAGUGUUUUU
rnacentral:rRNA from 1 species